ensembl:snoRNA SNORD101 small nucleolar RNA SNORD101
GUUUGAAUGAUGACUUAAAGUUGUCGGAUACCCCUUCACUCCUAUCAUGAGUGAAACAUGAAUAGUCUGACAAAC